CUACGGGUGGCUCCAGUGAGGAAUUUUGCGCAAUGGGGGGAACCCUGAUGCAGCAACGCCGCGUGGAGGAUGUCGCAUUUCGGUGUGUAAACUCCUUUUAUAUGUCAAGAAAAUGACGGUAGCAUAUGAAUAAGCACCGGCUAACUCCGUGCCAGCAGCCGCGGUAAUACGGAGGGUGCAAGCGUUACUCGGAAUCACUGGGCGUAAAGGACGCGUAGGCGGGUUGGAAAGUCAGGUGUGAAAUCCUACAGCUUAACUGUAGAACUGCACUUGAAACUUCUAAUCUAGAGUAUGGGAGGGGGAGAUGGAAUUAGUGGUGUAGGGGUACCAUCCGUAGAUAUCACUAGGAAUACCUAAAGCGAAGGCGAUCUCCUGGAACAUUACUGACGCUAAGGCGUGAAAGCGUGGGGAGCAAACAGGAUUAGAUACCCUAGUAGUC
rnacentral:rRNA from 1 species